rnacentral:rRNA from 1 species
UGGGGGAUAUUGCACAAUGGGCGAAAGCCUGAUGCAGCGACGCCGCGUGGGGGAUGAAGGCCUUCGGGUUGUAAACGUCUUUUGCUCUGAACAAGGCAUGCUAAUGGGUGUGUGGAGUGUAGGGGUUGAUUAGCGCCGGCUAACUACGUGCCAGCAGCCGCGGUAAUACGUAGGGCGCGAGCGUUGUCCGGAAUUAUUGGGCGUAAAGGGCUUGUAGGUGGCUGGUUGCGUCUGUCGUGAAAGCUCAUGGCUUAACUGUGGGUUUGCGGUGGGUACGGGCUGGCUUGAGUGCAGUAGGGGAGGCUGGAAUUCCUGGUGUAGCGGUGGAAUGCGCAGAUAUCAGGAGGAAUACCGGUGGCGAAGGCGGGUCUCUGGGCUGUUACUGACACUGAGGAGCGAAAGCAUGGGGAGCGAACAGG